rnacentral:rRNA from 1 species
GAUGAACGCUAGCGGCAGGCCUAAUACAUGCAAGUCGAGGGAGAAUGUUGGAUUCGUCUGACAUGAAACCGACGCACGGGUGCGUAACACGUAUGCAACCUACCUUUAACUGGGGUAUAGCUCAGAGAAAUCUGAAUUAAUCCCCCAUAAGACUACGACAUGGCAUCAUGAUGUAGUUAAAGCUCCGGCGGUUAAGGAUGGGCAUGCGGUACAUUAGCUAGUGGGUGAGGUAAUGGCUCACCAAGGCUACGAUGUAUAGGGGGUCUGAGAGGAUGAUCCCCCACACUGGUACUGAGACACGGACCAGACUCCUACGGGAGGCAGCAGUAGGGGAUAUUGGUCAAUGGACGCAAGUCUGAACCAGCCAUGCCGCGUGAAGGAUGAAGGCCCUAUGGGUCGUAAACUUCUUUUAUUAGGGAAGAAAAAACGGGAUGCGUCCUGUACUGACGGUACUUAAUGAAUGAGGAUCGGCUAACUUCGUGCCAGCAGCCGCAGUAA